UGCCAGCCGCCGCGGUAAUACGGAGGGUGCAAGCGUUAAUCGGAAUUACUGGGCGUAAAGCGCGCGUAGGCGGCUUGGUCAGUGAUGUGUGAAAGCCCUGGGCUUAACCUGGGAACUGCAUGUCAUACUGCCAAGCUCGAGUAUGGUAGAGGGAAGUGGAAUUUCAGGUGUAGCGGUGAAAUGCGUAGAUAUCUGAAGGAACAUCAGUGGCGAAGGCGACUUCCCGGACCAAUACUGACGCUGAGGUGCGAAAGCGUGGGGAACAAACAGGAUUAGAUA
rnacentral:rRNA from 1 species